rnacentral:rRNA from 1 species
AGAGUUUGAUCCUGGCUCAGGAUGAACGCUAGCGGCAGGCCUAAUACAUGCAAGUCGAACGGUAAGAUCCAGCUUGCUGGAUACACGAGUGGCGCACGGGUGCGUAACGCGUAUGCAACCUACCUCUAACUGGAGAAUAGCCCCGAGAAAUCGGGAUUAAUACCCCAUAAUAUCCUUUUAACACCUGUUUUUUGGAUUAAAGUUCCGGCGGUUAGAGAUGGGCAUGCGUGACAUUAGCUUGUUGGUGAGGUAACGGCUCACCAAGGCAAUGAUGUCUAGGGGUUCUGAGAGGAUGAUCCCCCACACUGGUACUGAGACACGGACCAGACUCCUACGGGAGGCAGCAGUAAGGAAUAUUGGUCAAUGGACGCAAGUCUGAACCAGCCAUGCCGCGUGCAGGAUGACUGCCCUAUGGGUUGUAAACUGCUUUUGUAUGGGAAGAACUCCCCCGACGUGUCGGGGGCUGACGGUACCAUGCGAAUAAGCAUCGGCUAACUCCGUGCCAGCAGCCGCGGUAAUACGGAGGAUGCAAGCGUUAUCCGGAUUUAUUGGGUUUAAAGGGUGCGUAGGCGGAAUGAUAAGUCAGUGGUGAAAUCCCCCGGCUCAACCGGGGAACUGCCAUUGAUACUGUCAAUCUUGAGUACAGUUGAGGUGGGUGGAAUGUAUCAUGUAGCGGUGAAAUGCAUAGAUAUGAUACAGAACACCGAUAGCGAAGGCAACUCACCAAACUGUAACUGACGCUGAGGCACGAAAGCGUGGGGAGCAAACAGGAUUAGAUACCCUGGUAGUCCACGCCGUAAACGAUGAUCACUCGCUGUUAGCGAUACACAGUUAGCGGCUAAGCGAAAGCAUUAAGUGAUCCACCUGGGGAGUACGGUCGCAAGAUUGAAACUCAAAGGAAUUGACGGGGGCCCGCACAAGCGGAGGAGCAUGUGGUUUAAUUCGAUGAUACGCGAGGAACCUUACCAAGGCUUAAAUGUAAGACGACAGACUCCGAAAGGAGUUUUUUCCUUCGGGACGUCAUACAAGGUGCUGCAUGGUUGUCGUCAGCUCGUGCCGUGAGGUGUCGGGUUAAGUCCCAUAACGAGCGCAACCCCUAUUCUUAGUUGCCAUCAGGUCAUGCUGGGGACUCUAAGAAAACUGCCUACGCAAGUAGUGAGGAAGGUGGGGAUGACGUCAAAUCAGCACGGCCCUUAUGCCUUGGGCUACACACGUGCUACAAUGGUCGAUACAGAGGGCAGCUACCUGGCAACAGGAUGCUAAUCUCGAAAACCGAUCUCAGUUCGGAUCGAAGUCUGCAACUCGACUUCGUGAAGUUGGAUUCGCUAGUAAUCGCGCAUCAGCCAUGGCGCGGUGAAUACGUUCCCGGGCCUUGUACACACCGCCCGUCAAGCCAUGGAAGCUGGGGGUGCCUGAAGUCCGUAACCGUAAGGAGCGGCCUAGGGUAAAACUAGUGACUGGGGCUAAGUCGUAACAAGGUA